rnacentral:lncRNA from 1 species
UGCAACUCAUACUUACCUGGCAGGGGAGAUACCAUGAUCACGAAGGUGGUUUUCCCAGGGCGAGGCUUAUCCAUUGCACUCCGGAUGUGCUGACCCCUGCGAUUUCCCCAAAUGCGGGAAACUCGACUGCAUAAUUUGUGGUAGUGGGGGACUGCGUUCGCGCUCUCCCCUGGUCUUCUCGGUUGAAAAUAAGACUCAGUUGUAGCUUCUUCCGGUCAGCAGCCAGAUGCAAGGUGUCUCUUAUGCCUAGCACUUGCUACGGCGGUAACACUCAACUCAGUUUGAUGGUAAGGUAACUUGUGAUGAGGUGGUUGAAAAGACUGCUACGGGGUGGGGUGGACCCCGAGAAGGAAAUCAUGGGGUUUUGGGUGAGCGAGACUUAAAUCAGGGUGUUAUUAACGACCCUUUCCUGCCUGUUUAAGUCCUAAGUUUAGACAAGUUAGUCUUGAAAGAAAAACAAAACAUCUUGGGCCACAAAUUGCAGCUAAUUACUACACAGUUGACUGACAGGUUACAGAGUCUUGUCCCGUUCCCCCGGGCUGGGAAUCUUUACAACCGGCAACUAGCAAAAAAUGGAUAGUCACCUCUUCUAUGAGAGCAACCAGGCUCCAGUCGUGGUAUUCCUGAUUUAAGGAGUUAAUUUUUGAUCCAGUUUAAUCCCAGCAGCACUCACGCGGUGCAGCAUCGCCGAGUUCACGCCUGAAAGGGGGGGGUGGGGGUGGAGAAAGUAAGAUCUGGCUUUUGCAAGGCUUUUUUUCCUUUUCAUUUAUCUUCUCUCCUCUUCCUUUUUCUUCCUCUCUCUUCUCUGUAUAGCACUGGCUACACACUCAGGACCAGGUUGGUCCAGAAAGAUUUGCCGGCCUCUGCAGACAUCCUGAGAGCCACCCACCGCACACCACUAGGGAUUGUCUGUCGUCUUGUCAGUGGCAAACGGCUCCUCUGACAUCUACUGUCGUGAGAUGGCUCCUAAUAUCCAACCGAAUGUUAGUACGAUAAAGCACAGAGUGCCCUGCACGUUCUUUCUUUCAGACCAAGAAAAACCAGGGGAGAGCGCGAACGCAGUCCCCCACUACCACAAAUUAUGCAGUCGAGUUUCCCGCAUUUGGGGAAAUCGCAGGGGUCAGCACAUCCGGAGUGCAAUGGAUAAGCCUCGCCCUGGGAAAACCACCUUCGUGAUCAUGGUAUCUCCCCUGCCAGGUAAGUGGUUUUCCCAGGGCGAGGCUUAUCCAUUGCACUCCGGAUGUGCUGACCCCUGCGAUUUCCCCAAAUGCGGGAAACUCGACUGCAUAAUUUGUGGUAGUGGGGGACUGCGUUCGCGCUCUCCCCUGGUUUUUCUUGGUCUGAAAGAAAAAACGUGCAGGGCACUGUGCUUUAUCGUACCAACAUUUCGGUUGGUAUAUUAGGAAAAGCCAUCUCACGACAGUAGAUGUCAGAGGAGCCGUUUGCCACUGACAAGACCGACAGACAAUCCCUAGUGGUGUGCGGUGGGUGGCUCUCAGGAUGUCUGCAGAGGCCGGCAAAUCUUUCUGGACCAACCUGGUCCUGAGUGUGUAGCCAGUGCUAUACAGAGAAGAGAGAGGAAGAAAAAGGAAGAGGAGAGAAGAUAAAUGAAAAGGAAAAAAAGCCUUGCAAAAGCCAGAUCUUACUUUCUCCACCCCCACCCCCCCCUUUCAGGCGUGAACUCGGCGAUGCUGCACCGCGUGAGUGCUGCUGGGAUUAAACUGGAUCAAAAAUUAACUCCUUAAAUCAGGAAUACCACGACUGGAGCCUGGUUGCUCUCAUAGAAGAGGUGACUAUCCAUUUUUUGCUAGUUGCCGGUUGUAAAGAUUCCCAGCCCGGGGGAACGGGACAAGACUCUGUAACCUGUCAGUCAACUGUGUAGUAAUUAGCUGCAAUUUGUGGCCCAAGAUGUUUUGUUUUUCUUUCAAGACUAACUUGUCUAAACUUAGGACUUAAACAGGCAGGAAAGGGUCGUUAAUAACACCCUGAUUUAAGUCUCGCUCACCCAAAACCCCAUGAUUUCCUUCUCGGGGUCCACCCCACCCCGUAGCAGUCUUUUCAACCACCUCAUCACAAGUUACCUUACCAUCAAACUGAGUUGAGUGUUACCGCCGUAGCAAGUGCUAGGCAUAAGAGACACCUUGCAUCUGGCUGCAGACCAAAAGAAACUACAACUGAGUCUUAUUUUCAACCGAGAAGACCAGGGGAGAGCGCGAACGCAGUCCCCCACUACCACAAAUUAUGCAGUCGAGUUUCCCGCAUUUGGGGAAAUCGCAGGGGUCAGCACAUCCGGAGUGCAAUGGAUAAGCCUCGCCCUGGGAAAACCACCUUCGUGAUCAUGGUAUCUCCCCUGCCAGGUAAGUAUGAGUUGCAGCCGCCCCGCGCGCGCUCUCCCUCGCGCUCAACGCACUUUGAACGCACGGUCACCGUACUCGCGACACCGCCUCGCCGCGCGCGACCUCCAGACCCCGCUCCUCGCCCCUCACCACCGACAUCUCGCUCCGUUUCUCGGUGUAGCACCACGCGCGACCGGGCCUUCCGAGCCCUGCGGGACCGGCAGCCAUUGCGCGCCGCCUCAUCUGCAUAUGCCCGCCCCGCCCCGCCCCGCCCCGCGUGCCUCGGUCGCGCGACCCGCCCGGAGCGUUCUAUGUAGCCUAGGAUGACCCUAAACGUCUGAUCCUAGCUGUGUGCCAUCGUCUACUGCUGGGGAUCACGCACUCGGAGCUCUGUGCGUGCCAGGCUUUCUCCAAGGACCCAGGACCAGCCGCCCAGGGGUGGCACCGCCCAUAGUGGGCUGGGCCUUCCCUCACUCACCGCUGAUCAGGAAAACGCCCUUCAGGUUUUCCAGCCUCCAGCCUGAUCUUUUGGAGGCAGGUUCUCCACUGAGGUUCCCUCCUCUCUGAUGACCCUAACUCUCGUCACGGCUGCGAGGGGCUGCAUAGUGAGUUCCGCGACAGCCAGAGCUACAGAGCGAGACCCUCUCUCAAACAAACAGAAAUGAAACACUAAUGCUGGAGGGCUGGGUGUGUGGUGAGCUCUGUGAGUUCUAGGCCAGCCAGAGCUACAGUGAGACCCUGUCUCAGAACAACAACAAACAAAACUACGGCUUGGGCAGGGACUUUAUUAUAUAGGUUGGUGAGAGAGGGCAUGCCUAGCAUGCGAGAUCGAGCCUCACUCAGCACCAACGACUUAAACAAAUAAAAAUGCUAAAUCAAAAAACCUGACUCCGGCC